GAGGUCUUCUAUGUAUAGAAGACCCUACAAGAGGUCUUCUAUGUAUAGAAGACCUACAAGAGGUCUUCUAUGUAUAGAAGGCCCUACAAGAGGUCUUCUAUGUAUAGAAGACCCACAAGA